UACGGAGGGGGCGAGCGUUAUUCGGAAUUAUUGGGCGUAAAGGGCGCGUAGGCGGCUGCACAAGUCAAAGGUGAAAUCCCUCGGCUCAACUGAGGAACUGCCUUUGAAACUGUACGGCUUGAGGCCGGGAGGGGGUAGCGGAAUUCCCAGUGUAGCGGUGAAAUGCGUAGAUACUGGGAGGAACACCAGUGGCGAAGGCGGCUACCUGGACCGGUUCUGACGCUGAGGCGCGAAAGCGUGGGUAGCAAACAGG
rnacentral:rRNA from 1 species